AAGCGGAGGAAAAGAAACCAACAGGGAUUGCCUUAGUAGCGGCGAGUGAAGCGGCAAAAGCUCAAAUUUGAAAUCUGGCACUUUCAGUGUCCGAGUUGUAAUUUGAAGAAGGUAUCUUUGGGUCUGGCUCUUGUCUAUGUUUCUUGGAACAGAACGUCACAGAGGGUGAGAAUCCCGUGCGAUGAGAUGACCCAGACCUAUGUAAAGUUCCUUCGAAGAGUCGAGUUGUUUGGGAAUGCAGCUCUAAGUGGGUGGUAAAUUCCAUCUAAAGCUAAAUAUUGGCGAGAGACCGAUAGCGAACAAGUACAGUGAUGGAAAGAUGAAAAGAACUUUGAAAAGAGAGUGAAAAAGUACGUGAAAUUGUUGAAAGGGAAGGGCUUGAGAUCAGACUUGGUAUUUUGUAUGUUACUCUUUCGGGGGUGGCCUCUACAGUUUACCGGGCCAGCAUCAGUUUGGGCGGUAGGAGAAUUGCAAAGAAAUGUGGCACUGCUUCGGUAGUGUGUUAUAGUCUUUGUCGAUACUGCCAGCCUAGACUGAGGACUGCGGCUUCGGCCUAGGAUGUUGGCAUAAUGAUCUUAAGUCGCCCGUCUUGAAA
rnacentral:rRNA from 1 species